rnacentral:rRNA from 1 species
UACGGGGGGGGUAAGCGUUGUUCGGAAUUACUGGGCGUAAAGGGCUCGUAGGCGGCCAACUAAGUCGGACGUGAAAUCCCUCAGCUUAACUGGGGAACUGCGUCCGAUACUGGAUGGCUUGGAUUUGGGAGAGGGAUGCGGAAUUCCAGGUGUAGCGGUGAAAUGCGUAGAUAUCUGGAGGAACACCGGUGGCGAAGGCGGCAUCCUGGACCAGCACUGACGCUCAUGCACGAAAGCGUGGGGAGCAAACAGG